AAAGCUGAAUUCUCAUUUGCUAGCAUACAAAUCAAGUCAUAUUCUUAUUCAUCAUUUUGAAAUUUUUUCCUUGUUUAACCUGUCUAUAAUUUGUGUUCAGCAAUGUCGGUUGUUAGGGAAAUUUUCCAAACUAAUACAUAGAUCAUACAUUGGAUGCCUGCACUGUUAUAUGUAGCUUGGUCAAAACUAGAGUCAUGACCACUGUUGAUUCAUUUUUUCAAUGCCAGGUUUAUGGAAAGUGAAUCCUAAAUUUUCCUACUAAAAGCAUCCAAGGUUUUCUUUGGAAGCCCAGGAAGGCCAAUAUUCCUUAAAAUCUGGUUGCUGUUAACUAAUAGUUUUGUAUAACUUAUUGUUAACAAGCUCAUUAACAUAAAC
rnacentral:lncRNA from 1 species